rnacentral:rRNA from 1 species
ACACGUGGGCAACCUGCCUCAUAGAGGGGAAUAGCCUUUCGAAAGGAAGAUUAAUACCGCAUAAGACUGUAGCUUCGCAUGAAGUAGCAAUUAAAGGAGCAAUCCGCUAUGAGAUGGGCCCGCGGCGCAUUAGCUAGUUGGUGAGGUAACGGCUCACCAAGGCGACGAUGCGUAGCCGACCUGAGAGGGUGAUCGGCCACAUUGGGACUGAGACACGGCCCAGACUCCUACGGGAGGCAGCAUG